rnacentral:sRNA from 1 species
AAAACAAGAAAAAAAAAAAGUAAAAAAG